AUGAAGACUCUAGAGCGGCUCUUCCUCAACCUCCUCCGACCACAGGUACAACGUGCCCAGGACCCACUACAGUUCGCAUACAAGGCGGAUGUCGGAGUGGAGGAUACAAUCCUGUACAUCCUACACAGAGCCCACUCACACCUGGACAAGGGAAAAGGCACGGUCAGGAUCCUGUUUCUUGACUUUUCCAGUGCCUUUAAUACCAUCCGGCCCUGUCUGCUCCAGGAGAAACUAAACAGGAUGCAGGUGGACCCCUGCCUGGUCGCUUGGAUCUCAAACUACCUCACUGACAGACCACAGUACGUCAGGCUGAAGGACAUCAUGUCUGACACUGUGGUCAGCAGCACAGGAGCACCACAGGGAACUGUGCUGUCCCCUCUUCCCUGCACCCUGUAUACCUCUGACUUCUGCUACAACUCUGAAUUAUGCCAUAUUCAGAAGUUUGCAGAUGACACAGCCAUCAUGGGGUGUAUCUGGGAUGAUCAGGAAGAGGAGUACAGAAGUCUGGUGAGGAACUUCGUCACAUGGAGUCACACAAACCACCUGCAACUCAACACCACAAAGACCAAGGAACUGGUUGUGGACUUCGGGAGGUCCAGAGAAGGUCCACUGCCGGUUCAGAUAGAGGGGGAGGAGGUGGAGGUGGUCAACAAGUACAAGUACCUCGGGCUGUGGGUGGACAACAAACUGGACUGGUCAUGCAACACAGAGCACCUGUGUAAAAAAGCCCAAAGCCGACUGUACUUCCUCAGGAGGCUGAGGUCCUUUAACAUCUGCAGGAAGCUCCUGAGGAUGUUUUACCAGUCAGUGGUUGCUGGAGUACUUUUCUAUGCUGUGGUGUGCUGGGGGAGCAGCACAACAAAGAAGGACUCAUCCAGGUUGGAAAAACUGAUCAGGAAGGCUGGCUCUGUGGUCGGCAUGAAGCUGGACACUCUGGUGUCAGUGGCAGAGAAAAGGACACUAAAGAAAUUGCUGGACAUUAUGGACAAUGCUGGGCAUCCUCUGCACACGGCCAUAAGCAACCAGAGGAGUCUGUUCAGUGACAGGUUGCUUCUCCCAAAGACAAGAACCAACAGACUUAAAAACUCCUUUGUCCCACACGCCAUCAAACUGUUUAACUCCUCUCUGGAGGGGAGAGGGAGGGGAAACAGGAGGACAAAGGAGGGGGGGACAACUAAGCUGUAG
rnacentral:lncRNA from 1 species